GGCCAUAGCCAUGUCACCCUGCAGCCCAAGAACAGUUACUCACUGAAACUAAGCUGGGCUGAGCCCGAUCAGUACCUGGAUGGGCGACCACAUUGGGAAAACUAGAUUGCUGUUGGAA
ensembl:rRNA 5S_rRNA 5S ribosomal RNA